rnacentral:rRNA from 1 species
UACGGAGGGUGCGAGCGUUGUCCGGAAUCAUUGGGCGUAAAGGGCGCGUAGGUGGCGGCUUAAGCGUGCGGUGAAAGCUCGGGGCUCAACCCCGAGUCGGCCGUGCGAACUGAGUCGCUUGAGCACUGUAGAGGCAGGCGGAAUUCCUGGUGUAGCGGUGAAAUGCGUAGAUAUCAGGAGGAACACCGGUGGCGAAGGCGGGUCUCUGGGCCGAUACUGACGCUGAGGAGCGAAAGCGUGGGGAGCGAACAGG